rnacentral:rRNA from 1 species
UACGUAGGGUGCAAGCGUUGUCCGGAAUUAUUGGGCGUAAAGAGCUCGUAGGCGGUCUGUCGCGUCUGCUGUGAAAACUCGGGGCUUAACCCCGGGCCUGCAGUGGGUACGGGCAGACUAGAGUGCGGUAGGGGAGACUGGAAUUCCUGGUGUAGCGGUGAAAUGCGCAGAUAUCAGGAGGAACACCGGUGGCGAAGGCGGCUACCUGGACAGAGUCUGACGCUGAGGCGCGAAAGCUAGGGGAGCAAACAGG